rnacentral:rRNA from 1 species
AUUGAACGCUGGCGGCAUGCCUUACACAUGCAAGUCGAACGGAAGCACGGGUGCUUGCACCUGGUGGCGAGUGGCGAACGGGUGAGUAAUACAUCGGAACGUACCUUAUCGUGGGGGAUAACGCAGCGAAAGCUGUGCUAAUACCGCAUACGCCCUGAGGGGGAAAGCGGGGGAUCGCAAGACCUCGCGCGAUUAGAGCGGCCGAUGCCUGACUAGCUUGUUGGUGGGGUAAAAGCCCACCAAGGCGACGAUCAGUAGCUGGUCUGAGAGGACGAUCAGCCACACUGGGACUGAGACACGGCCCAGACUCCUACGGGAGGCAGCAGUGGGGAAUUUUGGACAAUGGGGGCAACCCUGAUCCAGCAAUGCCGCGUGAGUGAAGAAGGCCUUCGGGUUGUAAAGCUCUUUUGUCAGGGAAGAAACACCGGCUCUAACACAGUCUGGGAAUGACGGUACCUGAAGAAUAAGCACCGGCUAACUACGUGCCAGCCGCCGCAGUAA